CGGUACACAGUCAGCAGGAUGUCAGCCCUCCAAGGAUCUUAAAUGGGGAAGAACUUCUAGUGAAUAGAAGACCUGUAACACUGACUUGCGAGGGAAACGAAGCUCUCGUCUGGACAUACAAGUACCUGGAUUGCCAUUAUGACAUGGGAAAGCAGACCCAGACGUCGAAGACAGAUGGCUCCUAUCGAUCCCAACUGACGCUAAAUGACCAUAACAGCCAAGGUCAUUACCACUGCCAUUACAACAACACUAGCCUGAGUGACCCCAGGGCAUCAACCAGCACCUAUGUCUACCUUUUUUCUGAUGAAGAAAGCUUUGCCGAAUUGAAUCCAGAUCGAUGUCAAGGCUCCAGAAUCGCAGGGAAUGUCGGUGGCCAAGUGGUACUAGAUUGUAGACCCACCCAGCCCAAUCUUACAGUUGUCGUUAAACAUGGUGACGAGGAGAUCCACCGGGGUCCUUUGGAGGAUCCGAGGGCGGGCUAUGUGCUACGAAAUCUGACGAAGGGCAACCAGGGAAAAUAUAAGUGCUAUAUUCAUGACCAUGAAGAACCCAGGCAGUUUGUUGUGAGAGGUAAGGCCUUUCUCUCUCUCUCUCUCUCUCUCUGUAGCUUUUGUGUGUGUGUGUGUGUUAUACUAAAUCUGAAUAGUCAUGGAAAAGUUAUACAUCUUAAUAAAGACUUGUUAUAAAUAAAACUUAAUUAAAACCACAGUGAUUAAUAUUGUCCUUUUAUAUGCGACAAUAAAGACGAAUGUUGUGUAAAACCACAGUAAGCGUAAGUGUGGCGAAGCCUCAAGUUUUCUUCCUGGUUUUGGAGUGUUUUAAUCUAUAAGGAAACAGAAAAUAUAACUUUGCAGUCUUGUAGGGUAAAUAGAAGGUAGCAUCUGAGCAAGACCUAAUUACAUAAAAAUCCUACAAAUUUGCCGGCCAUCCCAACCCCCCGCCACCAAAAGACCAUUGUCACAUUUUUUCUCGUAUUGUACAAGUAAGUUCCAGAAGUGAAGCGACAAAUCUCAGAAUUGUUAGUACUUCUUUAGAAACUCGUGGAGUUGCCAGUUAGUAUAUUUUAUUCCAAUUAUUGUCAUCCUAUUUAUCUGAUAAUAUGUAUCAGUGAUUAACUGUAUAAGCGCAGAAAGUAUUUCCCCAGUGAAUGAUCAAUGGUAGUUCAAGAAUUGUUUAUUAAAAGAAAGAAAGAAAAAAAAAGAAUUUCCCCAAAGAAACAUCUGCGGCUCUCAAAGUGUGAUAUCAAGUGUUCACCAUCGAGUGGCAGCAGGAAUCGAGUGCAUAAGCAUUGGACUAAUAUUUGUAAAUUAACUUUCUACUUUUAUAGCGUUAUAUCGAAAGUUAUUAUGAUUUCUUUUGAUAAAGCACAGAGAAGUUUAGCAUCUGAUUAGAUUAAAUGAAAUAUAAAUAAGACACAAGUUGGUGUAAAAAAAAAAAAAAAAAACAAAUCUAAGUUAUAUGCGCGUUUAGCAUUGGUUACAUAGUUAGGCCUUUUUCAAGAAUCAAGGAAAUAUAUUUUCCGGCUUGUUAGUCAAUAAUUUCAUCGAAUUUCUCGAUUGUGCAAA